AGGCUCUGUGGUGUAAUAGCAUGUUGGAUUGCAAAUUCAAAGGAGCAGCUUCAAUCCUGCCGGGGCUUC
rnacentral:tRNA from 1 species